ACAUUGCCAGGCUUCAUGUUUUGAUUCCAAAAUAUAUCCUGGUGAUUUCUCUUUCCCACGGAGUAGAUGUCAUGGACACUGGCAGAAGUUAGCAUCUCUGGCACUGAUAUUCAGCUUUUCAUUUGAUAUCAGUAUUUUUAUUGAUUUUCUUUUUUUCUUCUAAGAAAGCAGGCUUUUCUUAUUUGAAGUUUACAAUAGGAGAAAAAAGGAUCUAAGUAUCAGCCCUGCCUGAUUACACUCUUUUGUGAUUUGCUUACCAGCUAGCUCUGAUGCAGUACACACAACAGGAAGACAAAGCAACUUGUACUUCCAAGGGACACUCCUGCCUCAGAAGAGUGCUGCUAGAAGGCAUGUUCUGGCAAUACCUGGAAAUCUGCAGCAGGUAACUCCCCCUCUGGGACACAGAAAGGCUGAUCCUAUGGGACCAGGGCAGAGAAGGGUGCUGAAACAGGCCAUGAAGGAGGCCACGAAAGAUGAGGAGGUCAACAAGGCAUUAAUACCAGGACAUUUCAUUCUGGAACACUGCAGAACUAGCCUCCCACACAAUAAGCAUGGGAAAGCUGAAAACGAGAAAUUGGGAUAGGACUACACAGGAACACGCUAUAUGAUGGGAACGCAGGGCAUGGAAAACAACUGGCGUCCCUACAUCUCAUCCUUGUCUCUGGCUCCACAAAAGGCAGUGUGGACAGAGCACAUCUGCCCACACAAGGAGAAAGGAGCUGACUGCCUUCUCCUAAGGAACACAGGGCUGGUAACUGAGUCUAAUCUUCCCAAGGAAGCCUAUCUACUUCAAAAGGCUCCACAAAAUAUUUACUCCUCCCUCAUACCUGGGCUACAGAGCGUGUUUUCAACAUCCUGUAACAAACAAUGCCAACAGAAGUAAGACUGAGAGUCAGGAGAAGUCAGGAGAGAUUGGCCAUUCUAUGGUUCUGUGACACUGCAAAGACCCAAGGUUUCUGCUGUCGUGUAAAUUACAUGAAAUAAACUUCCAGCAAUGAGCAC
rnacentral:lncRNA from 7 species